UACGUAGGGGGCAGGCGUUGUCCGGAAUCAUUGGGCGUAAAGAGCGCGUAGGCGGUCCGGUAAGUCCGCUCUGAAAGUCCGGGGCUCAACCCCGGGAGGCGGGCGGAUACUGUCGGGCUAGAGUCCGGAAGAGGCGAGUGGAAUUCCUGGUGUAGCGGUGAAAUGCGCAGAUAUCAGGAGGAACACCAAUGGCGAAGGCAGCUCGCUGGGACGGUACUGACGCUGAGGCGCGAAAGCGUGGGGAGCAAACAGG
rnacentral:rRNA from 1 species